AACGAACGCUGGUGGCAGGCUUAACACAUGCAAGUCGAACGCACCGCAAGGUGAGUGGCAGACGGGUGAGUAACACGUGGGGAUCUGCCCAAUGGUACGGAAUAGCUCCGGGAAACUGGAAUUAAUACCGUAUGUGCCCUUCGGGGGAAAGAUUUAUCGCCAUUGGAUGAACCCGCGUCGGAUUAGCUAGUUGGUGAGGUAAAGGCUCACCAAGGCGACGAUCCGUAGCUGGUCUGAGAGGAUGAUCAGCCACACUGGGACUGAGACACGGCCCAGACUCCUACGGGAGGCAGCAGUGGGGAAUAUUGGACAAUGGGCGCAAGCCUGAUCCAGCCAUGCCGCGUGAGUGAUGAAGGCCUUAGGGUUGUAAAGCUCUUUCGCCGACGGAGAUAAUGACGGUAGUCGGAGAAGAAGCCCCGGCUAACUUCGUGCCAGCCGCCGCGGUAAGAC
rnacentral:rRNA from 1 species